GUUAUAGUGAUUAAUGCAGCCAAGGAAAACAUGAAGACAAGAAAGUGGAAAAUAACACAGGUACGACAAAUAAAUUAAUUCUUUCCAUUUACAUAUUAAACUGUUGGUAAGCCGACAAGAAAAGUUAUUUAGGAAAAUUAUUAUUUUAGUUAUUGCAUUUAAGACUGCUAUACCAUGUGCAGCUCAAAAAAUAGAAGUAAUG